UUCCGUAUCUAAACUACCGCGUUAUUAUUUUCCUGCCUAGUAUUUUGUUAGUACAAUAUAUAGUACACAAUAUAUAGUGCACAAAAUAAUUUAUUACGGUUGUGGCAAACAACAGUUAACUGGUGUCACUGCUACAAAAGUUUAACAUUAUUUAGCCAAACUUGUGUUGUGAAUGUAUUACACUGAAAUAAAUAAUAAAAUCACUUCAGGCUAUAUAAAAAAAAAGAUUGUCAAAAUUAAAUGAUAUCGUAGCUUUCGUCCAUUCGAAACCUAAAUUGGGCGGAGACAAAACAAAAUACAGAAAAAAACUUAUUUUGUAAUAAAUGAGGCAAUAAAAUUAGUUAUAGGUAUCUAAUUUCUUAAUUUAUUUACUUGAAUGAAAAUAAAUUUGCCAUUAGAAUCAUCAUUUGUUGAUAACCGCCGUUCUAACAAAAUGUAAAACUCAGAUUAACGUAUAUUUCCGUAUACAUAGCCUACUUUAGCAAAAUAUCUCCAGAGUGACGUCACAAAUUGCUAGCCAGUGAAAGAGAAAGGUGCGCAAAAGGAUACAUAUAUAACUUCACGAUGAUUCACCCGUUAUGUUCACAGUUGACAGAACAGAAGAACGAAUGAAUAUCAAGCAAUGAUUUGUGUAACAUUUUCUUAAGUGUUAUGAGUACGUAAUAAAUAUUCUCGCAGAAACUGUAUGGUGUUAUGUAGGCUGAAGUAUCUAUUUAUUCGAUUUUUUAUUUAUUAGAAAACAAUUUGAUCCGAUUUCCGCAUAGUAGACGCAGCGUCGCACUGCGUGGCUGCGACUGGUUGAUAAUCGCUGGCUCCUCUGUGACAUUGUGGGCAUUGGUGAAUCAAGCUUGUCGUGAAUGUCAGUGCGCUUGCAAACUGACUCCCCUGCUGCAGCUCAUACACCGGUCGUCACUGGAUUCUGAUGUACUUUGUAAUAAUUAAGAUAGUUUCUGAACCAGAACAGUUGAUAAGCUAUGGUCCUGAAUCAAAAAAGGUAAAUUUAAAAUGUGUCGUAACUUUAUCUUUGAGCCUCAUUUAGAAAAUGUUAACAUACUCACCUUUCAUUGUUAGGUACAUAUUUUUUUACACAAUCCCGCAUAACCCUGCAAGUUAUAAAAAUUCUUCCAAUGUAUGAAUUUCCCAAUUACAUACAUAUUGAUAAUGCCGAAUGUGGACUUUAUAUAUAUACACACAUGCAUACUUACACAUAUAUGUAUAAUAAUUGAAAGAAAAUGUUUGCUUCAAUGUCUCCCCUAUAAAUAAUAAAUGAAUUACCUAUAUGAUUAAAUAUCCGUGUUCUUAGUGGAUAUAACUAGGAAAAUCUGCAUAAUUUGUAUGUAUUUUGGUAGUUAUUAAAAAAGUACAAUUAAACUUACAAUAUUAUGAAUUGUCAUACCUCUAAUGUUAAAUUUUACUCUUGUACCGAUAGCACACUGUAUCUAAGUAACAUAAUUAAGAUGUCACAGAUAUAAUAUUUAAUACUUACUAAUUUUAUUCGACAAUGUGUUUCCGAUUCAUUUGACUUCUUGCAAAUGGGUUAUAAAUUAAGUAUAACUCCAGAGACGUACCAAAUUAGGUUACCUUGAGAAACUCAUGACGUCAGCGUGUAUGGUUUAUGUGUUAGGGAAAAUUUAUUCAAAUACUGUGUAUUAAAAAAGUGCAUGACAUGGUA